AUCCAGGACGCGAGUCCCAAAUAGGACGAAACGCUCGUCCUGGAU
rfam:Schistosoma curassoni strain Dakar, Senegal genome assembly, scaffold: SCTD_scaffold0000904